UACAACAGGUGCAAGCUAUUGCACAUAACUGCAGCAUGUAACACCCACGUGGUAGCCAGGAGAAAAUAGCUACUCAAGCAAUCAGCACGGGCAGGCCUCUAAAUAGCCCAUUCUGUCCCCUAGUAAAAGGAAGGGGGAAGAGAAGGCAAGUUGGUGGGUGUUAUGCUGAGAAAGGUCUGUGCAAGGAAAGACAGAAGAGAGGUAAUAAACGAAGGGGAGAAAAUAAAGCCUCUCUAUGUCCCCUGUAGUUGGAAUCCAUGAUCAAUGGGAGCUCUCAUAUCAAAUUCAGUAGCACAAAGUUAAUCAAGGAAGUGUAAGAAUAAAGUUUAAAAAUCA